rnacentral:lncRNA from 1 species
CCCCGCCUCCACCCUCGCCAUCACCACCACCUCCUUAUAUCUACAAAUCACCACCACCUCCAGUAAAAUCACCUCCUCCUCCCUAUUACUACAAAUCUCCACCUCCACCUUCUUCAUCACCACCGCUGCCUUAUAUUUACAAGUCACCACCACCUCCGGUGAAGUCACCUCCUCCUCCACCAUACUAUUACAGUUCUCCUCCGCCUCCCAAGGGGUACUAUUAGGCGGCAAUUUGAUCCCCUCCAAAUGUUCAGGAAACUGGAGCAAGAAUAAUACCAUUCUUUGGCAAUCCGCUUUACAUGGAAGCAAUCAUUUUCAUUCUUUUCCACAUGUACUUUUCAAUUUGAUAAGUCUCAAGUGACAAUGAUUUUAUGAUUACUUCAAGCAACAAAGCAUGUCUGAAUUGAGUUUUAAUCCAUGUCUUUGACCUGUCAAUUCUUGUUUCUUAUUCAUUAUGUCCUCUCCUUCCCUCAUUUUUAUUUUCUAUAUGUAUGUGUAUCUUGUGCUUUGCAACUUUCGACAUUCGCAAAAACAAAAACCUUAGAAAAUAGCUUUUCCAGAUAGUUUAAAACCGAUCAAGG